rnacentral:lncRNA from 1 species
CGCUAGGGAUGGUUCAGCGAGGAGAGUUCCCUGCGCGCCGCCUUCUACAUACCACCCGCGCACCCUCCUGGAGGAAGCCGCCGAGCCGAGGCGCGUCGAAGGAAGGCGGCCACCCAACUUUCCCGAGCAUCAUAUAGAAGUUCUCCGGGCUAGGGGUCCAAAUUGGAACUGCAGCUGAGGCCUUAUGCCACAGCCACAGCAACACCAGACCCAGCCUCAUCUGAGACCUACCUACCCACUGGAAGCUUAUGGCAACACUGGAUCCUUAACCCACCAAACCAGGCCAGAUAUCAAGCCCACAUUCUCCCAGAGACAACGUCGUUGGAUCCUUAAUCCACUGAGCUACAGUGGGAAGUCCAAGCCAUACUCGACUCCUGGUUGUCCUUGGAACAAGCCAAACUUGGCUCCCAACCUCAAGGCUGGUCUCUCAGGAAUGCUCUUUUCAGAACCAUCUGCUUCUCCUCAGUCAUGGCUUAGACAAAAGCCACAUUCUGAGAGCACCUGUCUUUGACCUCUCUGUCCAAGGUAGUUACCUCGUCACUCUCAAUUACAGUCUCCUGUUUUAUUAUAUAUUUUUUUAAUUUUUUAAAUUAAAAAAAAAAUUUUUUUUUUUUUGGUCUUUUUUUGCCAUUUCUUGGGCCGCUCCUGUGGCCUGGAGGUUCCCAGGCUAGGGGUCUAAUCAGAGCUGUAGCUGCCAGCCUACACCAGAGCUACAGUAAUGCAGGAUCCGAGCCAUGUCUGCAACCUACACCACAGCUCAUGGCAACACUGGAUCCUUAACCCACUGAGCAAGCCAAGGAUCGAACCCGCAACCUCAUGGUUCCUAGUCAGAUGCGUUAACCACUGAGCCACGACAGGAACUCCUCCUGUUUUACUUUUUCUCAUGGAGCUUAUGACUAUCUCAAAUUAUCCUGUUUGUUUACUUAUUUAUUUCCUUUAUCCUCAACUAAUAUGUAAGCCCCAUGAGAACAGGCAUCAGGCUUUUUCUUUGCAGUAUCUGGAACACCUAGAAUAAUGCCUACACGUUUAGUUGCUACAUACGUAUCUGUGGAGUGAAGGACUGAAACCAUUAGUAAGAGAUGGCUGAAGCACAUUGCUGAGAAUUCUGAAGCCACAUCCUGGCUUACAAAGGAGGCUGUGAUUGACAAGUAAUGUCUGCCCUGAGCACAGGAAGGAGAAAUGGUCACAACAAUACUGUAUUAGACAUCCUGCAUGUGUCCUUUGGUGGGCAGUGGCCCAAGCCUAGUCUACUAAAACCUCAGAUGGGUCUGAUGAUACAACAGGAAGUAGAACACAAAAUUAUGUCACCAUGGAAUGGCUGAACUGCCAACAUACCCACUUCCUCUGGCAUACCUCUGAAAAGCCCAGAAAGAUUGAAAAGGUGGGUGAUAUUAGGGCUCCGAGCUUCUCUAACCUAGCAAGUUCCUCAUUCCACAGAGGUUUUCAGAGCCACUAAGUAUCAGGUGCACCUUCAUGAAGAACUAGGAAGGCAACAAGGCAUUGUUGCCACUCACUAGUAUCCUUGUUUGUCUUAUCUGUCAGCAAAACAAAAGGAAAAGUGAUUUACAAUCCAAGAGCUGAACUUUAAAUCUGUAAGGGCCUUGGAGGUCCAGCCGGACUUAGGAGCCCCUGAAUAUUUUUGAGUACUGGAGUUACAAGGGCAAAAAGCAAGAUGCCUCAACUUAUGUUAAGAAAACGGCGGUAUUAAUCAACCAUCAACUGAUGUGGCAAUAAAGUGAGGAGGAGACACUAGAACCUGGAAGAUCACUUUGAAAGCAACUAGAGUAAAGCAGAUAAUGAGUUAAGGAAGGCUUCUGCCUAGCAUGGUGAAAAAUGCCAAGAAAAAGGAGCAAAAGAGGGGAGGCAAUACAAAAGAUUGACUGCAUCUGGGAGGUAAGUGAGAAGGAAAAGUAAAGGAUGAUUUAAAUGUUUUGAGCUGAGUUGAAAAUAAAAAUGACACCACCAUUGAUUCUCCUGAGUAUGUCAGGAGGUGUAAUUAAUUUUUGAUAAAAGAUGAAUUCAGUGCUAAGUACAUUACAUUUGAAGUGUCAGUCGAAUGUGUAAGCAAGGAUAUUAAGCAAAUAAUUGGAGUUAUAGCUUUGAAGCUCAGCAGGCAGUUACAGACUAGAGAUUUGGAUCAGAAAGUUUGAUGCCAGGAUAGUGGAUAAGAUAAGAGCCUUCAAGAAAGAAACAACUUAACGCCAAGGGCUGAGACGCAUCUCCAUCUGUGGGGUGUGGGUAGAAUGGAAUAAAAAGGAAAGGGGAAAAAAAGAACCCACAGGGAGGGCCAGAGAUCCUAGGGUAAUGUGUUUUUCAAGCUAAGGAGAUGAGCAUUUCAAAAAGGAAAGAUGAUCAAACUUAGUGAGAAAAGACAACUGACCUAGAAAUUAGAUCAUUUGGUGACUGUGAAGACAGAUGUUUUAAGUCAUAAUGGGGUUUAAGCCAGAUUACAAUGUAAGGCAUUGAAUGAGUCUGUGUGAGGUGAAAAAAUAAAGGCCACACGUACAAAUUCCUCUAACAAGCCAGCUGGGGAAGGAAUGAGAAAGGAUGCUAACUUGAGGGGUUAGCAGAGUUCAGAGAAAAUAUUUUCAAGAUGAGAAACUCUAUGUAUUUUGUACACAGAGGUGGAAAGUUUAAGGAAAAGGAGAACUGGAAGUUUCAGGGGAAAGAUGAAUCAGCUGUGAUCUAAGACAAGCUGAUCACGGGCUUUUAAGGUGCCACAUAUUAAACAUGGAGACAGUAAGACCAGAAAACAAGAGUGUGCAGCUGGAAUGCUGUAACAGUGGAAAAGGAGCAAAAACAAGUGCUCUGGGGUGGUGGACAAAAAGCCGCUAAAAAGGCAGCAAAAGGCAAGUGGGUUCCCAGGAAGCUGCAGCUCUGCUGAGCUCUCUGGAGCUCAAGUAGACAUUAGCUUGGAAUCUGUGUGUUUCUGACAUUCCUGGACGCUUUCAUCUCUUUCGAGUGGAGCAGAAGGCAUAAGGGUUGGGUCCUUUACUUCCCGCUCUGCCCUGUCCUCCUAAGUAACAUCACUGCCUCCUUAGACUGGAACUGACUUGCACACCAGCUAAACCCAUCUUGACACGAAGUUCAUGUCUAGUGAAGGGAGCCUGGCCAUCAGGGACUUAGGGCACUGGGCUGCUGGAGUCAAGAUGCUUCUAUGCCCCCUUUUCCCGCACAGCUUCCCCCAGUACAGCAAGGAGAGACAUCUGUUUAGCGAAGUUGAGAGGUUAGUGUAUGGAAAGGAAAUGAAAAUGAAGACCCAUGAGUGAGCGGAGGGAGAGAUGCCUGAGAAGCAAAAUGGUUUACCCAACAUCGCUCCAGAAAGGCUCAAGAUCUGAGAUACUAGGAAAGGAGAGGGGCAGCUGGAGGCCUCAAGAUGGAGUGGUUAGAUCCCAGUUUUUCAUCCUAAGCACAGUCUGGCUCUACACAUCCCCUAGCUCCACAAGGAACUUGUUCUCUCCAGAGGAAUGGAAGCGAAGAGGCUACAGCAGGGUGGCAUCCAUCGAGAAGAGCGUGAGUGAAGCCUGGGACAAAAAUUAACAAAGUCUGUCGACUUCUGCAUAUCCAGCAGUGGGCCUCCCAGCCUUCUUUCCCAGGCUAGCUCCGGGACUCCAUCAGAGCUCUUCUGUCACAGGCCUUGCCUAUACACAUAAAGAUACCAGACAGCUGGAGUUACUGCUAUGGUGCAACGGGAUCAGCGGUGUCUCUUCAGCGCCAGGAUGCAGGUCAAACCCCAUCCUGGCACAAUAGUUAAAGGAUCUGGUGUUGCCACGGCUGUGGGUUAAGUCGCAAAUGCUGCUUAGAUCUGAUCCCUGGCGCUUAAACUCCCUAUGCUGUGGGGUGGCCAAUAAAGAAAAAAAAAGAAAAAAGAAAGGAAAAAAAAAAAAAG